CAGAACAAGGAGGGUUCUAGCCUGGCACUUCGGGGCUCCAGUUCUGCUGAGAGGGACCGCUGGGCUGCCCUCCUCUUACCUCCCCCUUCUGCUCACCUGGACCCCCACCCACGCAGCCAGCAGGCCACCCCUGACCAGCUUCUCAUUCCCAGCCUAUGGGAAUCCUUGGGUCACCGGUUAGUCACCCCAGCUCUUGGCCCGACCUACCCAAACCACAGCUGUCACAAAAACCAAGAUAGCCGGAGCACGCAGUGCAUGCUUGUCACUGUUCUAAAUGCCACACGGAGGAACCGGCCUCGAUCAAAGUUCGCAGUGACCCUUUGGGGUAGGUCCUGUUAUCAUCCCAUUUUACAGGUCCAUCUGGCCCCAGGAGCACCCAAAUCCAGAGGGCAUAAGGAAUUAUGAGUCCCCCCUGGCUCCAGCUCUCCAGGAAACUCUGAAGACUAAAAUGUCAAGGACUUAGCAGCUUCUCAACUCCCCCAGCACCUCCCAGGAACAGCAAAAUUGAUUUCGGCAGCAGCUGCACCAUUUUACAUUCCCACCAGCAAUGCACAAGAGUUCCAAUUUCUCCACAUCACAGCCUCUGUUUGGAAAAAUGAGGCAACAGAAGCACAAAGAGGUUAAUUUUCCUGGUUAAAGUCAAACCCCACCGCAGAGGGCCAGGCUGAGCGAGCACUGUGUCCCUUCAAAGCGAGGAGGAGGACAGCCAGGGACAGCGGAGGACGGGGGAGAGACAGACGGAAGAUCAGAAGUGACCAGUCGCCCGCACCCCCCGUUGCCCACUGAACCCUUCGGCAGGCCUGGGGAGUGGCGGGGGGUGACUGUGAACUCCCACGCGGCUGACCUUGAGGCGCAAAGCUCCUCGGAAUCGAGACGAGGUCCCAGCUUUCACCUGACGGUCCUCUGCAUCCUCCUUUAACUCAGCUCUCCGGCAGGAGUGGAGGAGGGUGGGCAGGAAAGUUGCAAACAAUACAGAAACGACCCACAGAACUCCAGCAUACCGCCCAGCCAGAUGCCCAGAUUUACCAACUGUUAGCAUUUUGCCACAUUUGUUGUAUUAUCCCAUCUAUCUACCUUCCGACUUACCUACCUACAUAUCUACCUGUCUGCCUUGACGUGUCCAGGACAACAGGAAGAACAACUCAGGAAGAAAGCACAAUGUGAGCAAAAGCGUUGAGACCAGAAAGGGGCCAGGACAGAUUGGACAACAGCGGCUGAAGAGGAGAAGCCCAGAGUGGGUGAGGGCUCCAGGAGUUCCUGUGGACGUGUCCCAGCCUCCGUGGACUGGGCCCCGACCCUGGGGCCAUCAGUGUGCUACCCCACCUGCCCAAGUUAUUCCUGGUCCCUAACAGGGCUGAGGAACCCGGCUUCCUGUCCAAUCCCCCAGAGCCUGCUGGCCUAAGCCAGAGACCCUGGCUGAGCUGAAUCAGCUUUGCAAAUGGAUGCUGGAAACAUCUGGACUCUGACGGCAGCCCCAGGAUGGGAAAACAACAACCCUGAGGAGAGGAGAGCCACACAGAUGGAACAGGGUACUUGGGAGCGUCUCACCCCUUCUAUGCUUCCCGAUCCUAAAAGAAAGUCAGCAACUGAAAUCCAGUGCAACAGCCCAAAAAACACAAACUUGGUCUCUCAUUCCUAGCCACCGCCCCCCCAACACCCAAAAAAGUCUAAACCACAGGAAGGCCUAUGAUCAGUGAGUAGAGCCAUUCACAUAAUUACAUAAUCAGAUAAUUUCAGAGAAUUAAUGCACAGGCUCUGUCACAGUGCCUGGGAUACAGUCAGUGCUAAAUAAAAGCUGAACGCAUUUUAACAUCCACCACAUGCUGAAAGAUAACCUCCCAGAACCAUUUCCAAGAUGGGGGAGGCUCUUGUCUCUCGAAUAUUGCCUUAAUCACAUAACAUUGUAUCAGCCAUAUCUUGAUUUUUUUCAACAAAAAAGUUUUGCUGCCCCAAAUGCCUGUCAACUGAUGAACGGCUAAACAAAAUCUGGCAAACCCAUACAAUGGAAUCCUACUCAGCCAUAAAAAAAGAAUGAAGUACUGACACAACAUAAGUGAACCUUGCAAACAUUAUCUUAAGUGAAAGGAGCCAGAUACAAAGACCACAUAAAAUAUGAUUCCAUUUAUAUGAGAUAGCCAGAAUAGGCAAAUCCAUAGAGACGGAAAGUAGACCGGUGGUUUUCAGGGGCUGGGGAAGUUAAGGGGAAUAAGAAGCAACUGCUAAUGGAUACGGGGUUUCUUUUUGGUGUGACAAAAUGCUCUAAAAUUGACUGUGGUGAUGGCUGCAUAACUCUGUGAACAUACUAAAACCCACUGCACCAUACACUUUAAGUAGGUGAAAUGUGAAUUGUAUCUCCUUAAAUCUGUGUAUGUAUAUACACAAUCGUCAUAUGCAUAUAUAUACGUAUGUAUAUGACAUUGCCAUCAUGGGAAAGAAAGACACACCAUCAAAGAUGGCUCCCAGCUACUGUAUAGAAACCUAGAGACAUUUAGUCGGUGGCUUCUGGAACAGGGUGUGCUAGCCCUGAACAACAACGUGAACCCACAGACGUGUGCCCCCAGACACCCCUCCCAAAAGGGGGAAGACGCCACCCGCUGAAAGCUGAAAGGCUUUCAGAAUAGUCAACCCCCUCCCCCAAACUCUAAACCCCAACCCUAACACCGCAACAGCGGGCCCUGCAGCAGACAGCCGGGGACUCUUAUUUUGUCUCCUGCCCGGAGCAGUUCCUAAACAGUGGGAGUUAAAUAUUUAUAAAGCAGUCAGUGUUUGUUUAAUAUUCAAUCUGUAGUUGUGAAGCCUGAUGCAAGGCAAUACUGAAAUGACAGCUGAUUAUAAAACACAGGGGAGGCACAGCGUGGGGCCGUGGAGCCGUGGGGCCGUGGUUACCUGGUCUCCAGCCUUCACCUUCCCCCCUUUUAUUCUGCAGCCAGGGCUGCCUCCUCCUCAACAGGCCCUGGGUUAGGAGGAGAGGCUCCUGUGUUUAGUCUCCUCUUCCCAGCUCCUACGUGGGAUAAGACAAAAUAGCCCUCCCUGCCCAAAGCUGGCGGGUGUCGUCUGCUCCUAUGUGCCAUGAGCAGGCCCUGAGACUGUGGGAUGCUGUGUGGGAGAUGGCUUCUUUCCUAGGACCCACCGUGCAUCUAUUCCAGCAAGAGAUUUUGCACAGAAAGGGGGGCAGGGAGGGAUCCAAACUGGGGCAGUGAGGGGCACUUGUGUAGACUAGGGAUGCCUGCCGGGCCUCCCUGAAAUCGGUCAUUGUCGAGGCAUGCUCAGGGCCAGGCCUAUGCCAGGCCCCCAUUCUGAACACGUCACAUGGAGGGAGGAAGUUAAGAAUUCAAGUGCUUGGAUCCCAACUCACAGCCUUGCAUCCUGGCCUCAUUGUUUUUAUCAGCUGUGUGACAGUAGCAGGCUCUACCUCCGUGUCACCCAUGGCCCCCAUCCCUGCUGCAAAGCAUGAUUAAAAGCCCCACCUGCCUCACAGGGUCACCUGCAAGGAUUAAAUAAGAUGGUACUUUAAAGCACCUAAUACUGCGUUAGCUAUUACUAUUGUGGUUGUAAAGGUGACUGCCCCCACCUGCUUUCUGCAUCCGAGCUCCUACUCCUUGCUUGGCUGUGACCUUGAGCAACUCCUGUCAUUUGUCCUCAGCUGCCUAAUCAGCAAAUGAGAUUAAACAAGAUAGGGUGAGGAAAUGGUCUUUGUAAACCACAAAAUGCUGCUGAGAGCACAUGCCGGGAGCUGCAUGGGGUGGCUGGUAAAGGCAAGGUGGAAGAGAAGCACUAGUAUUUCCCCCAGCCCUGUGACCCCUGGAGACUUUUGGGGCCCAGGUACCUCUGAAAGCACCUAGUGCCCAGGCAUCAGAUUGCCUGCUGCAUCUCGUCAGAGCUUUGCCAUUCCCAAUCAUCCCAGGAGUUUCUGCCAGUUGCAUCCAGAAGUAGAGGCAGAGGGCGGGUCCGUGAUCAGUCAGGAAGAGAGACUCUGGCCCGGCCUCGCCCCUCCAGAAGCCCGCCCGUCCCUCUCCCCUUCCCACCACGGAGGGCAGCGCUGAGCCAGGGGACAAGGGUGAACGAGCCAGGGUGACCUCCAUCCUCAGGGAGUUCUCCUAACUCUCUGGUGAACACAGUGAGGGAGGCAAGGCGGUAGCUCGCAGGGAGGUACAGAUAAGACCGGGAAAAGCAGUCUAAGAAGAAGGAACAGCAUGAGCAAAAUCCUGGGGACGCGAAACUGCGCGGCAGGUGUGGAAAACUGGAGGGAGAAGAGGAUCUUGUUGUCCUGGACAAACAGCCACCCACAGUGAAUCCACUUAUAAUAAGGGUCAGUAAGGUGUGUGUGUGUGUGUGUGUGUGUGUGUUUCAGUUUCCUGAAAAACCGCCGCCACCUGCUUCUCAUCCCUCCUCGCCCCCCACCUGGCUGUGAUGCUGACUCCCGUCCCUCCUGCUGGCCCUCCUCAGGGAACUUUAUCUUGAAAAAAGAAACAACGAAUUAUGAAAAUAAGGUUUUUCUCUCUUAGCCUUAAAUUGGAAGUUGUAAUUUUAAACUGUGCUCUGAUUGUUAGGUUGAACAAAGGAUGACUCUGACAAAAUAUAAACUUCCUUCAUUUCACCCUUAGUCAAAAAAAAAAGGUCAUUGUGCAAGAGUCCCUUCAGAGAUGCGUAAAUUUUCCCAAAGCCUCUCACAAUUUUUUUAAAUUUUUAAAUCGUUUUCUUUGGAUUUGCCUAGAGAGUCGUCAUCUUUUACUUCUCUUCUCUCGCUGUGAAAUGAUUCCUACCAGAUCCGGCAACACCUUCCCCACUCCCCCCAUCUCACUUCCCCCCAUCCCAGCCCCACAGCACUUGGGGGGUCUCUUCCCUGCCCAAAAUAUUUCACUGGCAGUUUGCUUUCCCCCACUAGGAGGUGAGGUCCCCCCAGGGUGGGGACUGGCAUCCACCUUGCUCACCACUUGCUAUAUCCUCAGCUCCCAGGUAAGUGCCUGGCAUACAGGAGGAGUUCCAUAAAUGCAUGUGAUUCAAGAAGCCCUCAAUAGCACCUCUGCAAACUUCAGGAAACCUGAAAUUCACCCAAUAUCAAUUUUCGACAAUUGAUGUGCCCUGAAGAGAACAAGCCCUGUUAGCAACCUCUGCCACUGUUAAUUGAUUGAAAAACUGAGCAACCAUAAGGACACAUACUUAAAUAUUUCAUUGUGGGUGCACAUUUAUUAGCAGACAAAAAGGCAGAGUCAAGGUCUUUUUAUUUGGUCCACCGGCUGGAGAUGCAAAUUGUCCUUCUUGCAAAAUCCACACUCAUAAUUCAGCAUCUACAAUUUCCAAUGGCAAUUUCCUUAAAGUAGUACAGAAGUUAUUCACCUGCAAAGCAUAUGAAGUCAGACUCCUUAAAGAGUCUUACCGUUUUUCCUAUUUUUUUUUACAACAGUUUUGCCCUUGCAUAAUUGGGUGACAAUUUUUUUCGCAAAUCAGCAUUAUCUGUUCUUUCCAAAGUAUUAAACUUAGUUUUCAUGGAAAAACUCACUUUUUACCCUCAAUUUUCAUCAGUUUGUGUAAUACUGAAUUACCAGUUCAACUUUUGGCAAGCACACAAAUCAACUGGUGGUAACAUACUUUACGGCCACAUCACUAUUGAAAGCCAACAUGAAAUGAGCCAGGAAAUACUGUUCUAAGCCUUUACAUGUAUUAACUCAUUUAAUUCUCAUAACCACCUUAGAAGGUAGGUACUAUUCUUAAUGUGAUUUUCCAGAUAAAGUAUAUUGACACAGAGAAGUUAAUUAACCUGCCUAAGGUCACACAGCUAGUAAGGGGCAGGACAAAGCUUCGAACCAAGCUAACUGGACUUCUGAGUGGCCCACCAGCCCCAACCCUUCAGGGAGCCUUGGGCCCCAGUCAGUUUGCUUUACAAAUGGAAUGGGCAAGCUCGGUUAGUCCAGCAAGUGAGCUAAAUGGAGGUCAGUUAAGAUUUUCUGCUAUUCUUGCACUGUACUGAUGGAUGUUUACAACGGCUGGCGAUCAGUAAAUGACGGAUUAUCGUCGGAGGGCUGGAUGUCAGUAAUGUAUUUAUUAGUGCAUAUUUUCAUGUUCUGAAAUUUGUCAUGGUGACUUUUGCUUCCCUGUGCAAUCUCCUACCUGCUGGGGAACAGAUACGGAGGACCCCUCAACUUCUGCACGUCUGGAGCAUAAACUGCAAGUGGGGGGUGGCAAGAGACGAGGUUGAGGGAAGAGUGAAAAGCCAUAUGUGUCAGGCUAAUGGUUCGGACUUAAUCCGGUCAAUAGAUGCUUUUUUAUAUUCAGUGAUUGGACAGGAAGUUCUGGCUGCCUGCUGCUGCCUUCCUGCAAAUGGGAUAAGAUUCAGGAGAAUCCCAAGACUGUUGGAACAAAGCAGCAAGAAAUGGAAGGAAAACUUGCAAAUGGGAUGGAGGGCCUACAGGAGAGGCCUUGGGGUUUUCCUUCCACGUUCUGUGCUUCCCAGAGUCCCCCAGGACACCUGCACCCUGGGACCCAGAAAGACCAACCCACACCUGGAACAGGUGAGGCAGAGAGCGGGUGAAAGCCCAGGACAGAGGCCAGGUAGGGCUCUCGGACCAAUACCCUUUGCACUGCCCCAUGCCCCAGUCUCCAGCAGAGCCCGGGGGUGGAUGCUCGGGGGAGGGGUUAGAACCCCAGUUCAGGGCCCUCCUCAGGCUGCAGGACACGUGUGAGGUGAUCCCCACCAUCCCACAAACGCCAGGAGAAGUGCUCAAUCUCCAAUACGCCCCCACGAAACCCCGUCAAACUGACACAGUGGAGGCUAAGUAAAGAACUUCCCCCACUACAGGGUCGAGAAGAAAUGGCUUUGUUACCGGCAUCCCCUGGUGAGAGAAGUCACCUCCCUGUUUCUUGCAAUAAUUCAGCAUCAGAGAAGGGCCUGGGGAACUUUCAGCUCCUCGGCGUGCAAAAAGGUCUAGCAGCAGCGGGAUGUGGCUUUAAAAGACAAACCAAAGCCCCUCUGGCUUGGCUGAGGGAAGAUGCUUCCCUGAACCAGGCAAGGAGCAUCUCCACUGAUGUAGCAGAGGAGGAAGGCUGGUGUCGCUGCCAGCUUCAACCAUCCCAGCUGCAGGCAGCGGUGCCAGGGUGAACGGCACCUCCUGGGUAUUGACAUGUGUUGUUCCACUUCACUUAAUCCUCACAACAGCACUCAAGAACCGGGGAAACAGGCUCAGGGAGGCUAAGUGGCAUAGGAAGAGAUUUAUUUCAAGGAGUUGGCCCACACGAUCAUGGGGUCUGGCAAGUCCCAACUCUGUAGGGCAGGUUGGCAGGCUGGAAAUUCCACUAAGGGUUGAUGCCGAAGUCUUGAGUCUGAAAUCCACAUGGGACACCAGCAGGCUGGAAACUCCGAGAGGAGUAUUUGGUAUAAUCUAGAAGCUGAACUUCUUCUGUUUCCUGGAAUCCUCGGUUCUUGUCUCUCAAGGCCUCCAGCUGAUUGGAUGACUAUCCCCCACAUCAUCAAGGGUCAUCGCCUUUACUCAAAGUCAACUGACUGCAGAUGCUAAUCACAUCUCCACAUACCUUCAUGCAACAUUGAGGCCAGUGUUUGACCAAACAACUGGACACCAUAACCCAGCCAACUUGACACAUAAGAUUAACUAUCACAGAUGGUUUGCACGGUGUGUGAAGAUAUCUCAAUAAAACUGCACUAAAAAAAAAAGGUUAACCAUUAGA